ACGGGAGGCAGCAGUGGGGAAUAUUGCACAAUGGGCGCAAGCCUGAUGCAGCCAUGCCGCGUGUAUGAAGAAGGCCUUCGGGUUGUAAAGUACUUUCAGCGAGGAGGAAGGUGUUGUGGUUAAUAACCGCAGCAAUUGACGUUACUCGCAGAAGAAGCACCGGCUAACUCCGUGCCAGCAGCCGCGGUAAUACGGAGGGUGCAAGCGUUAAUCGGAAUUACUGGGCGUAAAGCGCACGCAGGCGG
rnacentral:rRNA from 1 species